rnacentral:lncRNA from 1 species
UGCUAGAUUUGGGAUGGCAAACUGGAAGACAGUUGGAACAUCUGGACCAUAGCUACGGACACGAACAUCAUGAAAGUCCACUCCAAAGUAUGGAAUUCUCAGCAGCAGUUGGUGUACAUAGUUCAAUUCCCUCAUGAAAGCCAUACAGUAUGUCAAACUCUGGAAGGAGGUAUGGAAUUCUCAGCAGCAGUUGGUGUACAUAGUUCAAUUCCCUCAUGAAAGCCAUACAGUAUGUCAAACUCUGGAAGGAGCCUUAGAUUUCUUGUGUUGCCAUCCUGUUGGUCAUAAAACAUAUCAGCUGGGAUUUGAUAUCGAAGUGCUCUUCCAGUGAAGAAGGUCAUUUGGCCAAUUGACUUCCGAAUGACAGAGCUCCCCCACAUGAAGAUCAAACUGAACAGUGGCAACAGUGACGGGCAUUCCAUGAGAGCAAAGUGGUUCUGUAAAGGGUGGAACCUUUGUCUCGUUUGACAUCAUCGAUUUAUUCUCCAACAUGAUCGAGCAGAGAGUAGGAAGGAGAAAGGGAAAAAAGUAAAGUUAGUGGUGGGAAAGGUUCUCUACGAGAGGCCAUGUUUGUCGCAAUGGAGAAAAGAGGUCAAUGAUACAACCUCAAUAAGCUUGUUUUGUAAUCUGAUGAUAAAAGAACUUGCUCUGUUUUUCACAUCGUGUAGUCAGGGCGCUUAAAGUAUUCAGUAGGAAAAAUUAUGUUUUUUAUGCCAUUGAAUAAAUCCCUUAUUGCCCAACCUUGUCAGGUCAACAUGGCUGAAUAUUGCCCUCUUUCUCUUUUGCAUGAUUAUGGACCUUGUUUGCCUCCCGAUCCAGUGCAAGUAAAGAAAAAGCAGUUGGACGAUUUCCAUCCAUAUUGACCUCACACUCGGUCAAUAAGGCACAUGCAUUCUCUUGAGACUCAAAGCAUCGCCACUAAAAAAGCAUAAGUUUCCUCAGGAAGUUGAAAACAUAGUCGACAUUCAAGACUCUGGUGACGCUAUUUUCAAAUGGAAAGUUCAAGUCGAUUGGUUUCAGUUGCCGAUCGUGAUCGUCCAAAUGAGAUUAGUUUGAAACUGAACAAAGACUUGUUAGAAUCGACAGCCUGUGGAAUCCGUCUUCUGAUCAAUCAUUUGUUUCUCAUAACUCGCACGCGUCCUUGCAAGCCGAUACCAUGCACUCUACAAACAACUGUUACAGCGUUGUCUCUUGUUCAUGUCUAAAGUCUCUGUGUGAAUAUUUGCAGUUUAUAAUUGACAAAAAGUUGAUCUCUUGUAAUGUGCCCUCCCGCUCCUAUGCCAGCAAAAAUAUGAUCAUGUAGAAGCCGUAGACAUGAAAUUAAACGCCAGUGCGCUAAUGCUA